rnacentral:rRNA from 1 species
AAUAGAUACCCGGGUAGUCCACGCCGUAAACGAUGGAUACUAGCUGUUUGACCGCAAGGGUUGAGUGGCUAAGCGAAAGUGAUAAGUAUCCCACCUGGGGAGUACGAACGCAAGUUUGAAACUCAAAGGAAUUGACGGGGGCCCGCACAAGCGGUGGAGCAUGUGGUUUAAUUCGAUGAUACGCGAGGAACCUUACCAGGGCUUAAAUGUAGUUUGACGUAUUUGGAAACAGAUAUUUCUUCGGACAAAUUACAAGGUGCUGCAUGGUUGUCGUCAGCUCGUGCCGUGAGGUGUCAGGUUAAGUCCUAUAACGAGCGCAACCCCUGUUGUUAGUUGCCAUCGAGUCAUGUCGGGAACUCUAACAAGACUGCCAGUGUAAACUGCGAGGAAGGUGGGGAUGACGUCAAAUCAUCACGGCCCUUACGUCCUGGGCCACACACGUGCUACAAUGGACGGUACAGAGAGCAGCCACUUAGCAAUAAGGAGCGAAUCUAUAAAACCGUUCUCAGUUCGGAUCGGAGUCUGCAACUCGACUCCGU